AUUGAACGCUGGCGGCAGGCCUAACACAUGCAAGUCGAGCGAGUGGCGGACGGGUGAGUAAUGUCUGGGAAACUGCCUGAUGGAGGGGGAUAACUACUGGAAACGGUAGCUAAUACCGCAUACCAUCGGAUGUGCCCAGAUGGGAUUCGCUAGUAGGUGGGGUAAAGGCUCAACUAGGCGACGAUCCCUAGCUGGUCUGAGAGGAUGAACAGCCACACUUGAACUGAGACACGGUCCAGACUCCUACGGUAGUCAGCAGUGGGGAAUAUUGCACAAUGGGCGCAAGCCUGAUGCAGCCAUGCCGCGUGUGUGAAGAAGGCCUUCGGGUUGUAAAGUACUUUCAGCGAGGAGGCGUUACGCGCAGAAGAAGCACCGGCUAACUCCGUGCCAGCCGCCGCGGUAAUUC
rnacentral:rRNA from 1 species